rnacentral:rRNA from 1 species
CCUACGGGUUGCAGCAGUGAGGAAUAUUGGUCAAUGGGCGGGAGCCUGAACCAGCCAAGUCGCGUGAGGGAAGACGGUCCUAUGGAUUGUAAACCUCUUUAGGCGGGGAGCAAUGCCGGGCACGCGUGCCCGGAGGGAGAGUACCCGCAGAAUAAGCAUCGGCUAACUCCGUGCCAGCAGCCGCGGUAAUACGGAGGAUGCGAGCGUUAUCCGGAUUUAUUGGGUUUAAAGGGUGCGUAGGCGGACGCUUAAGUCAGCGGUAAAAUUGCGGGGCUCAACCUCGUCGAGCCGUUGAAACUGGGUGCCUUGAGUGGGCGAGAAGUACGCGGAAUGCGUGGUGUAGCGGUGAAAUGCAUAGAUAUCACGCAGAACUCCGAUUGCGAAGGCAGCGUACCGGCGCCCAACUGACGCUGAAGCACGAAGGCGUGGGUAUCGAACAGGAUUAGAUACCCCUGUAGUC